GAUGAACGCUGGCGGCGUGCUUAACACAUGCAAGUCGAACGAGAAGUGGAGACGGAAACCUUCGGGCGGAAGACUUUAUUUCGAGUGGCGGACGGGUGAGUAACGCGUGGGUAACCUGCCUCAUACAGGGGGAUAACAGUUGGAAACGACUGUUAAUACCGCAUAAGACCACAGCACCGCAUGGUGCGGGGGUAAAAACUCCAGUGGUAUGAGAUGGACCCGCGUUCGAUUAGCCAGUUGGCGGGGUAACGGCCCACCAAAGCGACGAUCGAUAGCCGAUCUGAGAGGAUGACCGGCCACAUUGGGACUGAGACACGGCCCAAACUCCUACGGGAGGCAGCAGUGGGGAAUAUUGCACAAUGGGGGAAACCCUGAUGCAGCGACGCCGCGUGAGUGAAGAAGUAUUUCGGUAUGUAAAGCUCUAUCAGCAGGGAAGAAAAUGACGGUACCUGAGUAAGAAGCCCCGGCUAACUACGUG
rnacentral:rRNA from 1 species